AUUGAACGCUGGCGGCAUGCCUUACACAUGCAAGUCGAACGGCAGCGGACCUUCGGGUGCCGGCGAGUGGCGAACGGGUGAGUAAUAUAUCGGAACGUACCUUUCAGUGGGGGAUAACGUAGCGGAAGUUACGCUAAUACCGCAUAUUCUGUGAGCAGGAAAGCAGGGGAUCGCAAGACCUUGCGCUGAUUGAGCGGCCGAUAUCAGAUUAGCUAGUUGGUGAGGUAAAGGCUCACCAAGGCGACGAUCUGUAGCGGGUCUGAGAGGAUGAUCCGCCACACUGGAACUGAGACACGGUCCAGACUCCUACGGGAGGCAGCAGUGGGGAAUUUUGGACAAUGGGCGCAAGCCUGAUCCAGCCAUGCCGCGUGAGUGAAGAAGGCC
rnacentral:rRNA from 1 species